rnacentral:rRNA from 1 species
UACGAAGGGGGGCUAGCGUUGUCCGGAUUUAUUGGGCGUAAAGAGCUCGUAGGUGGUUCGGUAAGUCGGAUGUGAAAUCUCCAGGCUCAACCUGGAGGGGUCAUUCGAUACUGCCGGGCUAGAGGAUGGUAGAGGCGAGCGGAAUUCCACGUGUAGCGGUGAAAUGCGUAGAGAUGUGGAGGAACACCAGUGGCGAAGGCGGCUUUCUGGUCUGUAACUGACGCUGAGGCGCGAAAGCGUGGGGAGCAAACAGG